rnacentral:misc_RNA from 1 species
UACGGAGGGGGCUAGCGUUGUUCGGAAUCACUGGGCGUAAAGCGCACGUAGGCGGAUCGUUAAGUCGGGGGUGAAAGCCCGGAGCUCAACUCCGGAACUACCUUCGAUACUGGCGAUCUUGAGUCCGGGAGAGGUGAGUGGAACUGCGAGUGUAGAGGUGAAAUUCGUAGAUAUUCGCAAGAACACCAGUGGCGAAGGCGGCUCACUGGCCCGGAACUGACGCUGAGGUGCGAAAGCGUGGGGAGCAAACAGG